rnacentral:lncRNA from 1 species
UUCCGAGUAGCUGGGACUACAGGCAUGCACCACCAUGCACAGCCCUUUAGGUACGGUGCUGAGUACCCAUGAACCUUAUCUCUGAUCACCACUGCAACUCACUCUUAUGGCAUGGAUCAGCAAGCAGGGCUCAGAGAAGAGCCAAAUCAAUGGUACUCAUGCUACGAACAGGAGCUAUGGUAUUUUUACCAAAUCUGGAGACAGUGAUCUUCACUUUGAAAAACAGGUUCUGAGAAGCCCCUCAGAAGUGAGAAAGGCUGUAACCUAACCUCGAAAUUUAUUAGCAGAAGCAGGUAAGGACACUAACAGACACACAGGAGAGGCUUAGUAAUUUGCUGUGGUGGCCAGACUCCACGAUGGUCCUGAUCACUCACUCUGGCAGAAACCAUGUUAUAAUCAGCGCUGUGAAAUGGCUCAUGAGUCUGUGAGCAGCCACGUUGUGAGCAGUCCUAAGGAAAGGCCCAAAUAGCAAGAAAUGGAAACUUCCUGACAACAGCCAGUUAUUGAGAGAGAAUCUCUGGACCCUUUCGUGCAGUUAUUGAGAGAGAAUCUCUGGACCCUUUCGUGCCCCUAAAAUUAAAUCCCCUGACUCCAGGCUAAAAAAUAUGGCAAUAACUUUGUUUGGGGCCAGGGUGGUCCCUUAAUCCUGAGGCAUUUGUGAUUCCUUCCCCCCUAUCAACCCAGCAUCCCUCACCCUUCUACCACUGGAAACAUAAUGACUUAAGAAGCUCAAUUUGGUCUCAUGAGCAGCCUUCAAGCAAACCUUUUGCUGGGAAGGUCGUUAUGGA